rnacentral:lncRNA from 13 species
GGAGGGAGCAGGAGGGGCUUGGAGAGCUGGGAAAGAUAUUGUGGGCCUUGCCCCUUCUUGUCUCCCACUUGCCAAAAUCUGGCUCUGUGCCCGAUGACCAAAGAAAGCCACAGCUUCUGCAAAACACACUGACGAGCUCACACCACGGUUGGAGGGGCUAUUGGGGAGCAUCAGAAGCCAUGCUGGCUACCGAGAGAGGAUGAAGGUCCCUUCUCCUCCUCUUCCUACCCGGUAACUUUCAUCUCUGAAGGUCUGGUUCUGUGCCCAAUGACCAAAGAAAGCCACAGUUUCUGCAAAACAUGCUGACGAGUUCACAUCAUGGUUGGAGGGGCUGUUGGGGAGCAUCAGAAGCCAUGCUGGCUACUGAGAGUGGAUGAACGUCCCUUCUCUGCCUCUUCCUACUCAGUGACUUUCAUCUCUGAAGCUUGUUCUGGAAAGGAGCUGUGGUAG